CCCUAUGGGGUGCAGCAGGCGCGAAACCUUUACAAUGCACGAAAGUGUGAUAAGGGGAUCCCAAGUGCUCAAGCAAUGCUUGGGCUUUUGCUAUGUGUAAAUAGCAUGGCGAAUAAGUGGUGGGAAAGACUGGUGCCAGCCGCCGCGGUAACACCAGCGCCACGAGUGGCAGUCACGUUUAUUGGGCCUAAAGCGUCCGUAGCAGGUUUUGUAAAUCUCUUGUGAAAUUGCCGGGCUUAACUUGGCAUUGUGCAGGGGACACUGCAAGACUUGAGACCGGGAAGGGUCAGAGGUAUUCCUGAGGGAGCGGUAAAAUGCUAUAAUCUCAGGAGGACCACCUGUGGCGAAGGCGUCUGACUGGAACGGAUCUGACUGUGAGGGACGAAAGCUAGGGGAGCAAACCGGAUUAGAUACCCGAGUAGUCCUAGCCGUAAACGCUGUGAGCUAGGUGUUGCGUAUUCUACGGGAAUGCGCAGUGUCGAAAGGAAGCUAUUAAGCUCACCGCCUGGGAAGUACGGUCGCAAGACUGAAACUUUAAGGAAUUGGCGGGGGCGCACCACAAGGGGUGCGGCGUGCGGUUUAAUCUAACUCAACGCAGAGAACCUUACUAGAGGCGACGGCAGGAAGAAAGGUCAUGCUAAAGACAUUACCUGACAAGCCGAGAGGUAGUGCAUGGCCACGGCGAAUUCGCCCUUCCCUAUGGGGGUGCAGCAGCGAGAAACUUGCAUGAGCGAAAGCACGACA
rnacentral:rRNA from 1 species